UGAGUCGCUGCGGCAGAGUCUGCUCUGUCUGCGAGGAGGGCAGGAAGCAUCGCGGAGUCUUAAAGAUGCAGAGCUCCUUUUUCAGAGGCCAUGGAAAUUCCCGUCUUUCUAACUAAUUAUACAAAUACAGGCUUUAUCUUUGGGGUAUUUGGACAUUUGGGUCUCAACUGAGGAAACCUGUGUUGUCUCAGCUUCAGGUGGCCAGGUGCAGUGGAUCAUUCCUGAAGCCCCAGCACUCUGGGAGGCUGACGUGGGAGGAUCACUUGUGCACAAGAGUUUGAGACCGGCCUGGGAAACAUAGUGAGACUUCAUCUCUACUAAAAAAAAAGAAAAAAAUUAAGUUCUUCUGAGAUGCUUCUCUGAUAUUCUUCAGAGAUGACCCAUGGUAAGGGCUUUUAAUGGACAAAACAGCCAUUACUGCAUCCAAUUCUUUGCCUAACGAAUCAGUGUAUAAAUAAAUGCAUCAAUAAACCCAUAGGAUUUUCUUCUCUGUUAGCAUUUUCUUAAGUGCAUUGUCAGUCCUUCUUUCUGUUGUAUCUGUGUGACUUUUCUUUUACAUGUGCAUCUGUCAAACAGACUAAUCUUGAUUCUAUAAUUUGCAAACUGUCUAGAAUGUUGGUGUGUUGUGGAUCAGAGGAUUUUGAUCACAUAUAUAAAUACAUCUCUGUUCUUGCCUGAAGUGUUAGAAUUCUUUAGUAAACAUUAGUUUCCAUUGUUUUGAGACAUUUGCAAAUACUGUCUUUAUUUGAAGUAAUGACUUGCCAAAGAUAACAAAGUAGUUCUUGGUAUUUCUUUUAUCUGUAAAAUGAAAGCUUCACAAGUCUGGUGAGGUUCCAGUGAAAUAGGAUGUCAGGAGUGCCAACCUCAGUGUCUGGCAUGCAGGAGCUGUUUGGUGUAUAAUCAUGGAAAAGAGACAGACUGGCGGGGGAUGGUGGCUCAUACCUGUAAUCCCAGCACUUUGGGAGGCCAAGGAAGGCAGAUCACUUGAGGUCAGGAGUUUGAGACCAGCCUGGCCAACAUGGUGAAACCCCGUCUCUACUAAAAAUAAAUGUAUUGAUGAACCCACCAGAUUUUCUUCUCUGCUAGUAUUUCCUUAAAUGCAUUGUAUGCUUUCAUUCUGUCUAUCUGUGUGACUUUUCUUUUACAUGGUGCAUCUGUCAAACAGACUAAUCUUGAUUCUAUAAUUUGCAAACUGUCCAUUUUAUAAUUGCAAAAUUAGCUGGGUGUGAUGGUGUGUGUCUGUAAUCCCAGCUCCUCAGGAGGCUGAGGCAGAAGAAUCACUUGAACCCAGUGGGUGGAGGUUGCAGUGAGCCAAGAUUGCACCACUGCACUCCAGCCCCUGAGAACACAUCUCUGUCUCAAAAAAAAAAAAGAGAGAGACUGAACCUUAGGUGUCUGGGCUCCCAGUUCAAAUUUUGAAUCACAUAAUUUUGAAAGAAUCACAUAAAAGUUAUAUUUUAUUAUAGGAUAUGAUUUCAAUAAUAAGUGCAGAAUGACGUGCAGAUAGUAACCAUCAAUCAGUAUUUGUGUAUGUGUGAUAGAUUACUAGUAUUUAAGAGAUUUUCAGAUUAAUUUUCAGAUUAAUGUAUUGCAGGUUUUUAGACUAGUAGGAAAACCAAAUACUGAAAUGUAUGGCGUAUUGCUCAUGAUGAAUCUUUACAGAACUGAGACUAGAACUUGGGGAUUCUAUCUUCUGUUCAUUUGAGAAAACGUUCUGUUGUUUGUUUUUCAGACAGACGCAUCAGAUCAGAGUAGGGAAGUUGCUGGGUUUAGAGUAUUUGCUGAAGGUUGACAAAACUUUCUGUGGCAGACAGUAAAGAAGGGAAAGUAUACAUUUAAACAAGUUUUUAGCCUUUAAUUUUUGUGGGUACAUAGUAGGUAUGCAGAUUUCUCAUGGGGUACAUGAGAUAUUUCGAUAUAGGUAUACAUAACACUUAGGGUAAAUGGGGUACCCAUCACCUCAAGCACUUAUCCUUUGUGUUACAAACAUUCCAGUUAUGCUACUUUUAGUUAUUAUAAAUUAUACUAUUAAGUUAUUAUUGACUAUAGUCAUUCUGUUGUGCUAUGAAAUACUAGGUCUUAUUCUUUCUAUUUUUUUGUACCCAUUAAGCCUACUUACUUUUUCCUGACUCCUCCAUUUCCCUUCCCAGCCUCUGAUAACGAUCAUUGUACUCUGUAUCUCCAUGAGUGCAAUUGUUUUAAUUUUUAGCUCCCACAAGUAAGUGAGAACAUGCAAAGUUUGUCUUUCUGGGCUUGGCUUAUUUCACUUAACAUAAUGACCUUCAGUUUCAUCCAUGUUGUUGCCAAUGAUGGGGUCUCAUUCUGAAUAGUACUCCGUUGUGUCCAUGUGCCACUUUUUCUGUCCAAUCUACUGUUGAUGGAUGCUCAGGUUGCUUCUAAAUCUUGGCUACUGUGAAUAGUGCUGUAAUAAAUAUGGGAGUGCAGGUGUCUCUUUAAUAUGCCAAUUUUCUUUCUUUUGGACACAUUGGAAAGUAUAGAUUUGAUGUGCGAACCAUCUCUUUGUAAUGCCUGAGAGAUUGUAGAUACACAAUAAGUAUUCCUUGGAUUAAUAAAACUAGCUGGCCUGAUUUUCUUCAUAAACAACCUGGGUCGCUGAUUACUUUUGCUCUUUACUUUGUGUUGUGUUUUGUUUUCUGAAUCUUUAUGCUCCACUUCUGUGUUAGUGAUUUUCAGUGUGUGGUGGUGGAGAACGGGGCUUGGUGGUGAGAGGAAAUGUCAUUUGGGAGUGGGGCAGAAAGGAUAGGCAAGAGUCACAUGGGGACCUCGCUGUGGGGAGUCAUUGUUUGGGCCAGCCUCUUGCUGGUGGCUGCUGUAGGCCUCACCAGGCUCAACCACUUAGAAGAGGAAAAAAAGGUUUUGCAGUAAUAACAUGACCAAGAGUUCACUCCAGUGGAUCUAGCACCACCCAUCGAUGGAUUGGGUGUGCCAUUGUCACACCCCAGAAAUCUACCAGUUCUGUGCCUGUUUCUCUUCCUUCACUCCUUUCUCUCUUUCCCCAUCACCUUUGUCCAUUUUUUCUCUUCCUGGUUUAAGUGUGUCUAUUUGAAGGCUUCAUUUUCUCCACCAGGAAGCAUCUGCUUGGUCAUGCUAUUUGGCCAAAUUUUGUUCUGGAAGAAAAAUCACUUGGCUUUGUUCUUAUAUGUCAGUGUGUUAGAGUCUCUCUAAAUAACUCAAUUCUCUACGUUUCCUGAGGAUCAUUCAGUGACUUUAUGGAGAGUUAGGGGAAUGGGUGACUUUGCAGGGGUUGGAUGCUUUGUCCUCCAGGGUCCACAGUCAAGACAGUUUGAAGUCAGCACAGUUUUCAAGGAUUUGGCUCUGCUUAAAAGUCCUUUUGAGCCUUUCUUCAUACCAGGCAGACUGUGGUUUUCUCUUCAGAAAAUCCGCAAAUGUGAAAAACCCAGAUUGCAACUUGAGCAGUAGGGCCCAGCCCCCAUGCCUCUUGCCAAUGCUAAGUCCAUACAUUGGACCUUCCCGCUCUGUCUCUUUGAGCUUGACCCCUCAACCUCCUGGAGGCCUCUGAUGACAGAGAAGCUGCAAAUCUUUGGUUCAGGAAUCCAGGGCUUAAAUAGUAGCUUCAAAGAAAAAGAAUGGCAUGGUAUUUUAUAUAAGAUUCUAUUUUAUCUGAUGGCAUUUUAUAUGAUAGGCCCAGAGAAAGCUUCAUCAGCCUCAUGUCUCUUGUGCUCUGUACACCAGAACAACACAGCAUUUGAGUACAGUUGAUGUCUCUAGAACAAGCCACCAUGUUCUCAUCCAUAAAAUUGUUACAUUGGUCUAUUUACUUUUCAAGUUCCCUUCCAGCUCAAAGUUUUAGCAAUCUGGUAAUUAAAUAUGUUAUUUCUCAUAUUUAGGAAGUGUUGUGUAUAGGAAUUAGAAGGGAUUUUCUUUACUAGAUCAUUAGCUGCCAAAGUUCACUACUUGUACUUGUGAACUGGGUAGGGUGGAAAUUACACUUAGCAGUCCCCUUAACUGGCCUCUAUGUGUCUGCUCCAAGGAAAGCUCUCAUAAAGGCACCCAACUGAGGAAGAGGAUACUCGCCUAGAAAUUCUUUCAAAACAGUGUUCUUGAUCAGAGUUACAAUUAGAAAUAAACAAAGACAACCAGAAAAAUCUCUGUGAGUUGAUAAUUCUCUUAGAUAACUCUGGUAUAAAGGGAAAUAUAUAUUUAUGAUAAGAGUGUCUUUUGAAUACUGAUGAGAUGGCUUGCUGCCAAUAGAAAUACUAGCUAUGAAGCCAGAUCUUUCCAGAAAGGGAGAAAAGGAAUGGGACUCAGUUGUGAUGUGGACGCUGACUAGAUGGAGUGAGGAGAAGUUCUCAGUAAACAAUUAUGCUUCUCUUUUGGUGCCCGUACCCUGGAGUCAGGGAAACCAGGUGCCUGGAAACCUUGGUUGAAGGGUGUCAUGUAAGCCUGUCUCCUUCCCACAGUGGCAUUCGACAGCAAGUCCAGGACCUACCAUAACCCUUCUGUGUGUAGAAUGGACACAAGCACAUAGUUCUAAAGAAGAAUAAUGGAUGAGCCAUUCAUUGGAGGUGACUGGGUGUUUCUAGAAGUACUUUUGAUGUGAUUCAUCUUGGAGCAAGGCCUAAAACCACACCUUCUUCUGUUCUGUGUAUCCAAAUUUUAUCACUUUUCAAGGGCUAUCUCUUCUGGAACACUCCAACCCUUAACGUGCCAGCUUCUCCUUCUCCCUGCAUAAUUUUUCUUUCUUACUCUUCUUACAGUUUCCACUACAUUAUGUAACACUUGGUCCUUCUUGUAUAUUUCUUUGACAAUAAAAAAGGAGAGUAUUCAUUGUAAAAAAAUUUAAACAUGCAGAUGUGUUUUCUUUAAAGAUUUUUAAGUUUUACAAGUUGUACAUGUUUAUUUUGAAAAAUGAGAAAGUGCAUGUAAACAGCAGGAAAUAAAGAUAACUUGGAAGAGGAUUCAAGAUGGCGCUGUCAGAACAACCCAGGAUUGAUGCUCAUGGUCAAUGUGCGGAGGGGGUGAGUCAGGGCCACAUUUCCAGACGGAUCUUUGUUGCCCACAGAAUGGGGAAAUUCCUAGGUAUAGAGGAGACGCGGGAUGCCAGGCAGAGGUUUUGGCUGGUGCGGCGGCGGCCUGCGCUGUGGCGGUGCUACACAGCGC